rnacentral:rRNA from 1 species
AUUGAACGCUGGCGGCAGGCCUAACACAUGCAAGUCGAGCGGAUGAAGGGAGCUUGCUCCCUGAUUUAGCGGCGGACGGGUGAGUAAUGCCUAGGAAUCUGCCUGGUAGUGGGGGACAACGUGUCGAAAGGAACGCUAAUACCGCAUACGUCCUACGGGAGAAAGUGGGGGAUCUUCGGACCUCACGCUAUCAGAUGAGCCUAGGUCGGAUUAGUGAGUUGGUGAGGUAAAGGCUCACCAAGGCGACGAUCCGUAACUGGUCUGAGUGGAUGAUCAGUCACACUGGAACUGGGACACGGUCCAGACUCCUCCGGGAGGCAGCAGUGGGGAAUAUUGGACAAUGGGCGAAAGCCUGAUCCAGCCAUGCCGCGUGUGUGAAGAAGGUCUUCGGAUUGUAAAGCACUUUAAGUUGGGAGGAAGGGCAGUAAGUUAAUACCUUGCUGUUUUGACGUUACCAACAGAAUAAGCACCGGCUAACUUCGUGCCAGCCGCCGCCGUAACAC